rnacentral:lncRNA from 1 species
UAUGCAGCUUAAUCUUUCUGGGAUGCCUUCUUCUCCAAAUCCUUCUCUGUGAAGGACUAGCAGAUGGAAAAGCAAGAACUUGAGAACAGCCUGGUGCUGUCAUACAGAGAAUGCUCUUUCCAUCUUAGAUGCUGUCCUUGUGCAGUGACAAGAGAUCGCCUGGCUUCAAACUGCCAGCUCAAGUUUGGCAUCAGUUCAACCACCUGGGCUACAGAAGGAACAUAUUUUGGAUGAUGCUGCUGCACUCUUUCUGGAACUGUUACUCAAUGUAUUUAUUGUAUUUGCAGAACAUUUUACAAACAAGUGCCUUGUUCUGCCGCAGCUGCUGGCUCCAUCCUGUGAUCCAAGAGGAGUACAGGGCUGCACUUGCCAUUUGUAAAGGCCAAGCUGAUGGAAAACAUCCAGCUGCGGUUCAGAACACUGCGAGGAGCGCUGCAGCUCCGCCGGCAGCACCUGGUAGGCUUAGGAAGGACGCGGAGCCGGGCGCGCACACGGAGCUCGCUUCACGCCUGGUUAUUGAGUGCCACCCAGUGGGGGCUGCCUUAUCCGGGAACGGAGCUGGGAAUACACAGAUGCCUACAGGGUCAAAGCACACUGGGCUGGUAGAGCUUUUUGUUAUUGUUGCUUUGGUUUGGGUUUUUUGUUGUUGUUUUUGGAGGGGGGUUGCUAGUUAAAAAAAAAACAACUGAGGACUACUUAUUUUCAUAUGAAAUAUAUCAAAUAGAGUGUCUGCUAGCUGUUACUGUGCAAAGAUUCUGUUUGCAUUCAUCUGUGAUUUUGUCCAGUGAUUUCUAUUUUUGGGUUCAUUAUGGCCUUGUAAGCAGCCUUUUUAAACUAUGGGUAAUAAAGUAUUUCCACUUUAACCA